rnacentral:rRNA from 1 species
UACGUAGGGUGCGAGCGUUGUCCGGAAUUAUUGGGCGUAAAGAGCUCGUAGGCGGUUUGUUGCGUCUAUCGUGAAAACCUGCAGCUUAACUGUGGGCUUGCGGUGGAUACGGGCAGACUUGAGUUCGGUAGGGGAGACUGGAAUUCCUGGUGUAGCGGUGAAAUGCGCAGAUAUCAGGAAGAACACCCGUGGCGAAGGCGGCUCUCUGGGACGGUACUGACGCUGAGACGCGAAAGCGUGGGGAGCGAACAGG